UGGCGGUAUGCCUAACACAUGCAAGUCGAACGAGAGUUUUUAACUCAAGUGGCGGACGGGUGAGUAACACGUGAGAAUCUACCCUUAGGAGGGGGACAACAGUUGGAAACGACUGCUAAUACCCCAUAUGCUUUCGAGUGAAAUGAUUUUUCGCCUAAGGAAGAGCUCGCGGCUGAUUAGCUAGUUGGUAAGGUAAAGGCUUACCAAGGCGACGAUCAGUAUCUGGUUUGAGAGGACGAUCAGACACACUGGAACUGAGACACGGUCCAGACUCCUACGGGAGGCAGCAGUGGGGAAUUUUCCGCAAUGGGCGAAAGCCUGACGGAGCAAUACCGCGUGAGGGAUGACGGCCUGUGGGUUGUAAACCUCUUUUUUCAGGGAGGAAGUUCUGACGUGUACCUGAAGAAUAAGCAUCGGCUAACUCCGUGCCAGCAGCCGCGGUAAGACGGAGGAUGCAGGUGUUAUCCGGAAUCACUGGGCGUAAAGCGUCUGUAGGUGGUUUAGUAAGUCGAAUGUUAAAUCUUGAAGCUUAACU
rnacentral:rRNA from 1 species